rnacentral:misc_RNA from 1 species
GAUGAAGAACGUAGCGAAAUGCGAUAAGUAAUGUGAAUUGCAGAAUUCAGUGAAUCAUCGAAUCUUUGAACGCACAUUGCGCCCGCCAGUAUUCUGGCGGGCAUGCCUGUUCGAGCGUCAUUUCAACCAUCAAGCCCCAGGCCUGUGUUGGGGACCUGCGGCUGCCGCAGGCCCUGAAAACCAGUGGCGGGCUCGCUGUCACACCGGGCGUAGUAGAUUUUAUCUCGCUCAGGGCGUGCUGCGGGUUCCGGCCGUUAAAAAGCCUUUUUUACCCAAGGUUGACCUCGGAUCAGGUAGGAAUACCCGCUGAACUUAAGCAUAUCAAUAAGCGGAGGA